GAUGGCUGAGGAAGAGCAAAAUUUCAACUUGACAAUCACAGAUGACUGCUGAAGCAGAUACAACCACUGAGGCAAAAAUCUGAUUGCAAGGAACCUGAACUCCCUGACUUGAACACCUGCAAAGGACAGGGAUUAGGGCCCUUAGGUACACUACUCUGCACCCAGGAGUUACAAAUCACUAACACUCUGAACUGUGACUUUUCUGGCGUCCCAUUCAGAUGAUUUUUAUGAUGUAUGUGGUUUUUAUUUGCUCUGUGGGCUUGCACAAGCCAUCCUAAGACCUUCAUGGUAAAAUUUCAAUCCUGUCUCAAAUUGACAGUUUAAACCCUUAAUAAAGCCUUAUAUUUUAAAGCACACAUACACACACACACAUACAUGUCAGGCCUCUGAACCCAAGCCAAGCCAUCGCAUCCCCUGUGACUUGCAUGUAUAUGCCCAGAUGGCCUGAAGUAACUGAAGAAUCACAAAAGAAGUGAAAACGCCCUGCCCCGCCUUAACUGAUGACAUUCCACCAUUGUGAUUUGUUCCUGCCCCACCUUAGCUGAGUGAUUAACCCUGUGAAUUUCCUUCUCCUGGCUCAGAAGCUCCCCGACUGAGCACCUUGUGACCCCCGCCCCUGCCCACCAGAGAACAACCCCCUUUGACUGUAAUUUUCCAUUACCUUCCCAAAUCCUAUAAAACGGCCCCACCCCUAUCUCCCUUCGCUGACUCUCUUUUCGGACUCAGCCCGCCUGCACCCAGGUGAAAUAGACAGCCAUGUUGCUCACACAAAGCCUGUUUGCUGGUCUCUUCACACUGACUCGAGUGAAAUUUGGUGCCGUGACUAGGAUCGGGGGACCUCCCUUGGGAGAUCAAUCCCCCGUCCUCCUACACUUUGCUCUGUGAGAAAGAUCCACCUACAACCUCAGGUCCUCAGACCAACCAGCCCAAGAAACAUCUCACCAAUUUCAAAUCCGGUAAGCGGCCUCUUUUUACUCUUUUCUCCAGCUUCCCUCACUGUCCCUCAACCUCUUUCUCCUUUCAAUCUUGGUGCCACACUUCAAUCUCUCCCUUCUCUUAAUUUCAAUUCCUUUCAUUUUCUGGUAGAGACAAAGGAGACACGUUUUAUCCGUGGACCCAAAACUCCGGCGCCAGUCACGGACUGGGAAGGCAGCCUUCCCUUGGUGUUAAAUCACUGCAGGGACGCCUCUCUGAUUAUUCACCCAUGUUUCAAAGGUGUCAGACCACGCAGGGACGCCUGCCUUGGUCCUUCACCCUUAGUGGCAAGUCCUGCUUUUCUGGGGAAGGGGCAAGUACCCCAACCCCUUCUCUCUGUGUCUCUACCCCUUCUCUGCUUUUCUGGGGGAGGGGCAAGUACCCCUCAACCCCUUCUCCUUCACCCUUAGUGACAAGUCCUGCUUUUCUAGGAGGCAAGAACCCCCAAUCCCUUAUUUCCACACCCUGACCUCUUAUCUCUGUGCCCCAAUCCCUUAUUUCCACACCCCAACCUCUUAUCUCUGUGCCCCAAUCCCUUAUUUCCGUGCCCCAACCCCCCUUCCCACUUUUCUGGAGGAUAAGAACCCCCGAACCCCUUCCCUCCGUGUCUCUAUGCUCUCUUUUCUCUGGGUUUGCCUCCUUCACUAUGGGCAACCUUCCACCUACCAUUCCUCCUUCUUCUCCUUUAGCCUAUAUUCUUAAGAAUUUAAAACCUCUUCAACUCUCACCUGACCUAAAAUCUAAGCAUCUUAUUUUCUUCUGCAAUGCCACUUGACCCCAAUACAAACUUGACAGUAGUUCCAAAUAGCCAGAAAAUGGCACUUCCAAUUUUUCCAUCCUACAAGAUCUAAAUAAUUCUUUUCGUAAAAUGGGCAAAUGGUCUGAGGUGCCUGACAUCCAGGCAUUCUUUUACACAAUAGUCCCUUCCUAGUCUCUGUGCCCAGUGCAACUUCUCCCAAAUCUUCCUUCUUUCCCUCCUGCCUGUCCCCUCAGUCCCAACCCCAAGCAUCGCUGAGUCUUUCUAAUCUUCCUUUUCUACAGACCCAUCUGACCUCUCCCCUCCUUGCCAGGCCAAGCUACGUCCCAAUUCUUCCUCAGCCUCCGCUCCUCCACCCUGCAAUCUUUUUAUCACCUCCCCUCCUCACACCUGGUCCUGCUUACAGUUUCAUUCUGUGACUAGCCCUCCCCCACCUGCCCAGCAAUUUACUCUUAAAAAAGUGGCUGGAGCCAAAGGCAUAGUCAAGGUUAAUGCUCCUUUUUCUUUAUGCCAAAUCAGAAGUGUUUAGGCUCUUUUUCAUCAAAUAUAAAAACCCAGCCCAGUUCAUGGCUCGUUUGGCAGCAACCCUGAGACGCUUCACAGCCCUAGACCCUAAAAGGUCAAAAGGCCAUCUUAUUCUCAAUAUACAUUUUAUUACCCAAUCUGCUCCUAACAUUAAAUAAAACCCCAAAAAUUGGAAUCUGGUCCUCAAACCCCACAACAGGACUUAAUUAACCUCACCUUCAAGGUGUACAAUAAUAAAAAAAAGUUGCAAUUCCUUGCCUCCACUGUGAGACAAAGCCCAGCCACAUCUCCAGCACACAAGAACUUCCAAACCCCUGAACUGCAGCAGUCAGGCAUUCCUCCAGAACCUCCUCCCCCAGGAGCUUGCUACAAGUGCCAGAAAUCUGACCACCAGGCCAAGGACUGCCGGCAGCCCAGGAUUCCUCCUAAGCCACGUCCCAUCUGUGUGGGACCCCACUGCAAAUCGGACUGUUCAACUCACCUGGCAGCCACUCCCAGAGCCCCUGGAACUCUGGCCCAAGGCUCUCUGACUGACUCCUUCCCAGAUCUUCUCGGCUUAGCGGCUGAAGACUGACACUGCCCGAUUGCCUCGGAAGCCCCCUAGACCAUCAUGGACGCCGAGCUUCAGGUAACUCUCACAGUGGAAGGUAAGCCCGUCCCCUUCUUAAUCAAUAUGGAGGCUACCCACUCCACAUUACCUUCUUUUUAAGGGCCUAUUUCCGUUGCCUCCAUAACUGUUGUGGGUAUUGACGGCCAGGCUUCUAAACCUCUUAAAACUCCCCAACUCUGGUGCCAACUUAGACAAUACUCUUUUAAGCACUCCUUUUUAGUUAUCCCCACCUGCCCAGUUCCCUUAUUAGGCUGAGACACUUUAACUAAAUUAUCUGCUUCCCUGACUAUUCCUGGACUACAGCUAUAUCUCAUUGCCGCCCUUCUUCCCAAUCCAAAGCCUCCUUUGCAUCCUCCUCUUGUAUCUCCCCAACUUAACCCACAAGUAUAAGAUACCUCUACUCCCUCCUUGGUGACCGAUCAUGCACCCCUUACCAUCUCAUUAAAACCUAAUCACCCUUACCCCACUCAACGCCAAUAUCCCAUCCCACAGCACGCUUUAAAAAGAUUAAAGCCUGUUAUCACUGGCCUGCUACAGCACAGCCUUUUAAAGCCUAUAAACUCUCCUUACAAUUCACCCAUUUUACCUGUCCUAAAACCAGACAAGCCUUACAACUUAGUUCAGGAUCUAUGCCUUAUCAACCAAAUUGUUUUGCCUAUCCACCCCGUGGUGCCAAAACCAUAUACUCUCCUAUCCUCAAUCCCUGCCUCUACAACCCAUUAUUCUGUUCUAGAUCUCAAACAUGCUUUCUUUACUAUUCCUUUGCACCCUUAAUCCCAGCCUCUCUUCGCUUUCACUUGGACUGACCCUGACACCCAUCAAGCUCAGCAAAUUACCUAGGCUGUACUGCCGCAAACCUUCACAGACAGCCCCCAUUAUUUCAAUCAAGCCCAAAUUUCUUCCUCAUCUGUUACCUAUCUUGGCAUAAUUCUCAUAAAAACACACAUGCUCUCCCUGCCAUUCUUGUCAGACUGAUCUCUCAAACCCCAGCACCUUCUACAAAACAACAACUCCCUUCCUUCCUAGGCAUAGUUGGUGCAGUCAGAAUUCUUACACAAGAGCCAGGACCGCACCCUGUAGCCUUUCUGUCCAAACAACUUGACCUUACUGUUUUAGCCUAGCCCUCAUGUCUGCGUGCAGCGGCUGCCGCUGCUUUAAUACCGUUAGAGGCCCUAAAAAUCACAAACUAUGCUCAACUCACUCUCUACAUUUCUCAUAACUCCCAAAAUCUAUUUUCUUCCUCAUACCUGAUGCAUAUACUUUCUGCUCCCUGGCUCCUUCAGCUGUACUCACUCUUUAAGUCCUACAAUUACCAUUGUUCCUGGCCCGGACUUCAAUAAGGCCUCUCACAUUAUUCCUGAUACCACACCUGACCCCCAUGACUGUAUCUCUCUGAUCCACCUGAUAUUCACCAUUUCCCCAUAUUUCCUUCUUUCCUGUUCCCCACCCUGAUCACGCUUGAUUUAUUGAUGGCAGUUCCACCAGGCCUAAUCGCCACACACAAGCAAAGGCAGGCUAUGCUGUAGUACAAGCCACUAGCCCGCCUCUCAGAACCUCUCAUUUCCUUUCCAUCCUGGAAAUCUAUCCUCAAGGAAAUAACUUCUCAGUGUUCCAUCUGCUAUUCUACUACUCCUCAGGGAUUAUUCAGGCCCCCUCCCUUCCCUACACAUCAAGCUUGAGGAUUUGCCCCCACCCAGGACUGGCAAAUUAGCUUUACUCAACAUUCCGGAGCCAGGAAACUAAAAUACCUCUUAGGCUGAAUAGACACUUUCACUGAAUAAGUAAAGGCCUUUCCUACAGGGUCUGAGAAGGCCACCGCAGUCAUUUCUUCCCUUCUGUCAGACAUAAUUCCUCAGUUUAGCCUUCCCACCUCUAUACAGUCUGAUAACAGACCAGCCUUUAUUAGUCAAAUCAGCCAAGCAGUUUUUCAGGCCCUUAGUAUUCAGUGAAACCUUUACAUCCUUUACGGUCCUCCGUCUUCAAGAAAAGUAGAAUGGACUAAAGGUCUUUUAAAAACACACCUCACCAAGCUCAGCCACCAACUUAAAAAGGACUGGACAAUACUUUUACCACUUUCGCUUCUCAGAAUUCAGGCCUGUCCUCAGAAUGUUACAGGAUACAGCCCAUUUAAGCUCCUGUAUAGAUGCUCCUUUUUAUUAGGCCCCAGUCUCAUUCAACACCAGACCAACUUAGACUGUGCCCCAAAAAAACUUGUCAUCCCUACUAUCUUCUGUCUAGUCAUACUCCUAUUCACCAUUCUCAACUACUCAUACAUGCCCUGCUCUUGUUUACACUGCCGGUUUACACUGUUUCUCCAAGCCAUCACAGCUGAUAUCUCCUGGUGCUAUCCCCAAACUGCCACUCUAAACUCUUGAAGUAAAUAAAUAAUCUUUGCUGGCAAGGCUAGGCUGAACCUCCUUGGGCACUCUCUAAUCAGAUGUCCUAGGUCCUCCCAAUUCUUAGACCUUUUAUACCUGUUUUUCUCCUUCUCUUAUUCCAUUUAGUUUUUCAAUUCAUACAAAACCGUAUCCAGGCCAUCACCAAUCAUUCUAUACGACAAAUGUUUCUUCUAACAACCCCACAGUAUCACCCCUUACCGCAAGAUCUUUCUUCAGCUUAAUCUCUCCCACUCUAGGUUCCCACACCGCCCCUAAUCCCACUCAAAGCACCCCUGAGAAACAUCGCCCAUUCUCUCUCCAUACCACCUGCAAAAAUUUUCGCCGCCCCAACACUUCAACACUAUUUUGUUUUAUUUUUCUUAUUAAUAAAAGAAGGCAGGAAUGUCGGGCCUCUGAGCCCAAGCCAAGCCAUCGCAUCCCCUGUGACUUGCAUGUAUAUGCCCAGAUGGCCUGAAGUAACUGAAGAAUCACAAAAGAAGUAAAAAGGCCCUGCCCUGCCUUAACAGAUGACAUUCCACCAUUGUGAUUUGUUCCUGCCCCACCUUAGCUGAGUGAUUAACCCUGUGAAUUUCCUUCUCCUGGCUCAGAAGCUCCCCGACUGAGCACCUUGUGACCCCCGCCCCUGCCCACCAGAGAACAACCCCCUUUGACUGUAAUUUUCCAUUACCUUCCCAAAUCCUAUAAAAUGGCCCCACCCCAUGUCCCUUCGCUGACUCUCUUUUUGGACUCAGCCCGCCUGCACCCAGGUGAAAUAGACAGCCAUGUUGCUCACACAAAGCCUGUUUGCUGGUCUCUUCACACGGACUCGAGUGAAAAUACACACGCACACACACACAAAUGGACAUUUACCCCACUCCUGCUUUUGUGCUAUUGUGGUCAUGCAUAGUAUUUCUUUUUUGCUGUUGUUUUUCUUGUUGUUUUCACUGUCAUACAGGUAUUUAUGAUGGAAACAGAAUCAGAGUCUGACCUUCCUGACUUGAAGUACAAGGUUUUUGGGGUUUUUCAUUCGUGUUUUAUGUGUUUUUUAAAAAAUUAUUUGUGUUUUUAAUCGACAAAUAAAAACUGUAUACACAUAUGCUUCCUGAUUUAUAAUGGGGAUACAUCCCAAGAAACCUACUGUAAGUUGAAAAUAAUGUAAGUCAAACAUGCACUUAGUAAACCUAGCUUACCAAACAUCAUAGCUUAACCUAGCCUAGGUUAAACAUUCGUGGGACACUUACAUUAGUCUACAGUUAGGCAAAAUCAUCUAAUACAUAGCCUACUUUCUAAUAAAGUUAUUAGAAAGGAUUUUUAUUCAAAAAUCAAAAUAUGGUUUCUACUUAAUGUUUAUUGCUUUCACAUCAUCGUAAAGUGGAAAAAUAUAGGUCAAGCCAUCGUAAGUCAAGGAAUGUUGGUAUAUCGUAAUGGUGUACAUGAUAUUUUGAAAUAUGUAUACUUUAAUAGCUAUAGUGAGCUAAUUAACAUAUGAAUUGCCUCACAUUCUUAUCAUUUAUUUGUGGUGAGUAGAUAUAAAAUCUACUCUUUUAGCAAUUUUUAAGUAUGCAAUACACUAUUGGAAGGGUCUCUGGCUAAGUUAGUUUUCUUUCUGAACGGACAUUUCUCACUAACAAGUGCAGAAAUUCCCUGUGAACAGGGGAAGCGGUAAUGCUGACAACAAAACUCAGAUGUAAAUUUAGAAUAAAAAAGGGCUCAUGGUUGACUGCUUUGGGCUAUACUUCCAUAAUCUCUCAAAAAAAAAGUAAGGUAUUGUCCUCUGGAGUAUUUUGAUGGAAAAUUUUAGGAAGACUUGAUAAUCUGUAAAAGUUGUAGGCUUGAGAUCCUAAAAGAUCUGUAUCUAAAUUCAUGUAUUCUACAGAAGUUUACUUAAUUACUCCAGGUUUAUUUUUCCUUACUUGUGAGGUAAAUGUUGUAAUACACAUCUACCUCACAAAGGUGUUGUGAGAAUUCAAUGAUAUGUUAUUUAUAAAGAAAGUAUUGAUUACCUUCCUUCUGUCCCAGUGAUAGAUCACAACAAGAGAUCAUGAAGAGGGCAUGGCCGCCAUGUCAUUCUGGAGAGAGACAGAGUAAAACAAAGAAGGUGAUGGGUAAAGCGCAGUCGCCUGCUAUAUAUUGUCUAUUUUUGGUUUUUCACUUACCUUUUAUAUUUAUGCCUUUUAUGUACAACAGGAUUAUAAGCAGCUUGAGUCCAGUGAAUAUACCAUUUCAUUUUGCUAUCCUUCACUGCACUUAGCUUAGAGGAAAUAAUCACAGCUUAUUAUUGAUUAAUUAAUUAAUAGAUGAAUGGUGAACAGAUGAUUAUCAUCCCAAGAAAUGGGAUUUUUUUAAUUCUGGGCAACUAGGAAAGUUUUUAGCUACAGAGAAAUAUUGACAUGGGCAACAACUUCAUCUUACAGCAAAAAGUCCUUUUUUUUUUUUUUUUUUUCUUUUUGGAGACAGAGUCUUGUUCUGCAACCCAGGCUGGAGUGGAGGGCAGUGGUGUGAUCUCGGCUCACUUCAACCUCCGCCUCUUAGGUUCAAGUGAUUCUCCUGCCUCAGCCUCCCGAGUAGCUGGGACUACAGCAGCCUCUCUACAAGUCUCCUAACUUAACCUGAUGGGAAAACACUUCCUACCACUAACAGCAUCUACUUGAUUACUGAUACUUUGAUCAUGGAGUUUGGGCAUGCCACUUGAUAGAAAUUUGAAGAGCAAUUAUAUUUUUCAAAAAGAGUUUUGAAUAAUGUUAAGAUAGAUUGCAACAUGACUAUCAAUUCUUCCCUUCCCAUCAAAGGAGAGAGUCCGUUUAUCCAGCCUUUGAAUCUUGAUUAUUCAUGUGACUUGCUUCACCCAAUGUAACAUUAAUAAGCACAAUACAAGCAGAGGCUUGCCAAGAACUUGGUUUGUUUCUAAUGCUUAGAAGAAGAAUGGUGUAUGCCAUAUUUCUGCAUUUAGAACUCACGUGGAGACAUGUGUGGCCCAAUUGCUUCUCUUUCAUCUCAGGCAAUAACCAGACACGGGACUGAGGCCAUCCAUGACCAGCCAGCCCUAGCCAACACACAACACACAAGCUGAUCACAGAUGCAUGAGUAAGCCUGAGACCAGCCAAGACCAGCCUAGAAUAGAACUGCUCAGCAGCAAUAAAAACUAAAUAAAUUGUUACCUUAAGCUACUUUUAGAGCUAUUUGGAAGUGUAUUUUUGUGCAGCUAACAUUUACUAGCAGAUAAAAUGGUGAUUGUUUAUCUCUGUUUUAUUGAUGUUUUAAGGAAAUUGUUUCUAUUAAAAGGAAAUAUCUGGUCUUUGUCACGUUAAAUCAGGUUUAGCCUGAAGUUGUCUCCUUAAAUUUGCGGCACAACUCCCACCCUGCAAUACUUCAAAUUGUUUCACCUUUUUUGACAGAACCAAGGUAUAUCUUAAAUGUACUUGAUUGAUGUCUCAUGUCUCCCUAAAAUGUAUAAAACCAAACUGUGCUCUGACUACCUUGGGUACAUGUUCUGAGGGUCUCCUGAAGGCUGUGUCACAGGCCAUGGUCUUUCAUAUUUGGCUUAAAACAAAUCUCUUCAAAUAUUUUAUGUAGUUUGACUCUUUUCCUCAAUAGAACUCAUCAUUUAACCAGUUAAGUAUUUUGAGUUAGUUUGGGAUUAAACACGAGAGUUUUGACAGGGAGCUGAAACAAUAGUAGUUUCAUCAAAAGUUGAUUCUUGGUGCAUGUAAUUUUCUAUUACAGUGAACACAGAUAAUAAUGAUGCAUAUGUCUUUACCUAGAUUAGAGAAAGGAAGAGAAAAAAUAAAAAUUUUGGAAAUGAGAUAAAAAGAUAUUGAUCUCACUGAUGUUUCUGAAUCUAAGACUGAACUCAAUUAUUAGUUGUAUUUACUGCUUAUUAGAUUUACUAAGAAAGUUCUUUAAGGUACUUACAGCCCUAAAAUUAUUUGCAAUAUUCAAUAGCAAGGGACUUAAAUACAGUCCUGAUUACUCCAUCACAAAAUGCCAAAAACAAUUAGGAUCUUAAAGGAACUACCCAAAUAGGUUUAAGAUAUCACUCAGGCCAUAAAAAUGUUUUUAAAAUUCACAUCACAAAAUAGCCAAAUGACAUAUCAGAAACAAAAGCAAAAAAGUCAUCCUAAUUCAAGGCAAUUACUUUAGCAAUUCAAAAUAAAAUGUUAAAAGUGACCAAAAAACAAAUGCAAAAUAUUUUAAUGACUUUAAAUGGCUGUAUAAUUUCCUCAUCACUUCACUUGGCAGAGUUAAGAUGGCAUUUAACCUAAGUUCACAUCAUUAAAAAAAACACUGCACCAUGAUGCUUUUCUUAAUAUGCAUUCUCAAAUUAGCAUACAGAGAAAAAUGAAACUAUAGUAGAGACGUAAAUUUAAUCCCUAUUUAGGUCACUAGGCAUUUAUUAGCCCCACCACAGGUUAAUACACUUGCAUUUGCAUCUGUUUCUAAAUGCUAAUUAUCUGACCUCAGAACACUCACUUAUGGGCUUCAUUUAUUGAAAAACAAAUCCCUAUGAUUUGAUCGUAGAGUAACUUUUAAUGUCUAACUUUACGUAGUAUAUUACAGUUUUCAAAACAUUUUUAUAAAAAGUAUUUUGUUUAUUUACAGCAACUAUAUAUCAUAGAUAUUAAUGUGUAUAUUUUGCAUUUAAGCAAGUUGGAGUUCGUAAGGUUGAAUUACUUGAAAUGUACAAAUAGAUAGUAGUGAAUAUUUAAAGUACAUUUUUAAAAAUAUGACCCAGAAAAAUAGGUGGCAUUUAAGAAAUAUAAGCAUGGUAUCUAUCUUACAUGUAUAUUAGGAGUGGACAGUUUUCUAAGAUUAGAAGCAAACAGUUGUCAAGCAAGGGUUCUAAUUUUUGUAAGUCUUGUGGGAAAGAAAGAUAAUAGAGGGUUUCAUUGCAAAGAUAUAAAACUACUCUAGAUAAUUUAAGCAAAAACUAAUCUAAUAAAUUGGGUUUUCCAAAUUAUUGAAACACCUUGAGAACUAGUGCCUGGGUAGGCCUGGAGAAAUGACUCCAGGAACAGCAUUACAGAACUCACCUGCCCAGUGGUAACAGUGCCCAGAUUGCUCUUCUCCAUUAUCCAGCCAGAGUUCCAGAUCAGCCUGAAUACUUCACCUCUGGGAAGACUUUGCAGAACCUCCAGAUUUAUGCCACCUCUAUAACCUGUGUAAUAUUAUUACAAUGCAUAUUAUGUUCUAUUUCACUUACAGUCAGCCCUCCUUAUCUGUGGGUUCCACAAACAUGGAUUCAACCCACAGUAAAAUGAAAAUAUUUGGGGAAAAAAUUAAUGUUUGAGUCUGUAUUGAACACGUAGACUUUUUCUUGUCACUGUUCCCUAAACAAUACAGUAUAACAACUAUUUACAUAGUAUUUACAUUAUAUUGGGCAUUAUAAGUAAUUAAAGAUGAUUUAAGUAUAUGGAAAGAUGUAUAUAGGUUAUAUGCAAGUACUGUGCCAUUUUAUAUAAAGCACUUGAACAUCACAGAUUUUGGUAUCAAUGAGGGGUGCUGAAACCAAUUGCCCAUGGAUACCAAGAGACAGCUAUAUUUGUUUCAAUGUGUACCUCUCCUUCUAAACUCAGUUCUUAAGCAUAUAGUAUCUUUAUAGCUAUACACCUAGUGUCUAUCAGACCCUAAACUAUGGUAGGCCCUCAAUACAUUUUAUUGUUAUAGGUAGAUAGAUAGGCAUGAGUAGGGCAGGAGAGGGCUCUCCCUCCACCCACUAGAAAUGUCAAGUGAUGUUUUAAAAAUUGUCACACUGCCUCUCAGAAAAUGAUAAUUCAGCAACCGGGGAGAGACAAUCUUCUGAUGGUCCACACCUAUUAACAUUAAAGUGUUAUUAAAGGCAGACCCCAGAAAGAAGAAACUUACUGGGCAUGCACAUUAAGAGAUAAAAACGGCAAAAUAUUAUCUUCCACGUACCCACAACUGGAAAAAAGGAAGAAAGCUUCAGUGAGAAAUUCCUAAAAAGAUAAGCAGCAUGACAAAGAAGACAAAGGGAAGAUGCCAGACAACCUGGAAAUUGGAUAAUGGAGACCCAGGGAGGGUAUAAAAGAGAAACUACUUUGUAAUAAUUUAUAUUGAUUAUUCCUUUCAAUAGAUUUUGUGGAGUAGUUCAAUAUUCCCAUAAUCCAUUCUUUGUCACCUGAAGGAAAGGUGAAUGAGAUAGCUCAGAAGUUCCAUAACAAGGCAGUGGCAGGUUUGAGACCAUUGCUUUGUGUUUCUUAAUUUACCUGCCUUUUGUGUGUAUGAUGAGGAUUCCUGCCCUCUUAGCCACUAGUAAAAAAAAGAGAUAAAAAGUAUCAAGGUUUUUUUUUACUAUCAAAUUUUCUUUUUUAACUUGGCCAUCUCUGUCACCAAAUACAUUCUUACACAGAUAUAGUCUUAAAAUUUGUACAUAGUACAAAGCUAUCCACAAUAUUUGUGUUGAAUACAACACAUGUAUAUACAAGCAAGAAACUAACAUGAAUAACAAGUGAUGAGCUAAAGAUUCAUUCUCAAUUAGCCUUUUGUUUUUAUAAAGGGUGUGUGGCUGUUUUUCAUGUCAGUGAUCGUUGGUGUGAAACCAAUAUAGAGUCAGGAGAACAUACUCAUUGUAAUCAUACAUAAUUUAGGACUAGAUGAUGCUUUUUCAACUUCAUUGUGUAUAAAAUAGAUUUAAUUAUGUUGAAGAUGAUGUACAGAAAUGAGUUACUUAGUUACUGAAUGAACUAGCCAAAAUUUCAGCAUUCAUAUCUCAUCAACUGUUGCUAUUUAUCAUUCAAACCUUUAGUAACUCUCAGGAAUCUGAACUUUACUGACUUAUGUGAGAAAUGCACAAGCCACAGAAGUAUUCACAAAUUUAGAAAUCUACUAAGCUCUCAGAAUAUGUAUUUGCAAGAUAAGGUGAACUUUUAUCCCCUGGGACAAACCUGUGUUACACUGAUUGACUCAGCAUUAUAAUUAGUAGUGCCCUUUCACUAUUGAUAUGCUCUUUAUUAGAUGAUGGAUUAAAUGGCUUUCUGGGUCAUUGAUUACAAGAUUCUAUCUUAUAACCAUAUUUUAAUAUUAAAUAUUUAUCAAGAUGUUCAUGUACUAUAUCAGCAAAAAAUUACUAAAUGUAUAUAAGGUGGUUUUGACCUUGCCACUCAAUUAUUUACUAAAAGACUAAGAUGCUCUCUCAAGUAAAUACCUCGCUUUGGUAAAGUUCCAUUACUAAAACUCUCAAGUAUCUGAACUUUUCAUUAUGCUUCCCUAUACUUCUUUUUCAAUCCAGUUUGUCAGUGCCUGUUCAUAGCCUAAUAGAGCAGUUCUCACAGUAUUAGGGGUCAUCAACACUCUGUCAGUGCGUACACGACUAUUUUUAAAAUAAACUAAAAUGCUGUUUGUCUUUUUCACUCUUAUUCUCUAAUGAGUGUCUGGUACAGUUUUCCAGAGGUUACAUGAUGUGUGAUGAUAUCAUCACUCUGAUAGCUAAUGGAAAGUAUGACUGUAUAUUCUGUAAUGUUCCAGGAGUUUCUGAGGUUUAGGUUUAGGUUAUAAAAGGGGGCAUAUGUUCAGAGAUUAACUCAAUUUUUUCUCAGUACUUCUAUUGUGUUUUUACUAAGUACCUUUUCUUAUAUUUGCUAUAAUCUGUAUAAACUUAUUGUCAUACAAUAAAUCAAUAUUUUAAAAUCCCAAUGAUUUCUUUAUGACUACACAAAAACAAGUAGUAAUC
rnacentral:lncRNA from 10 species